UAUCAUGGCCGCCUUUCUGCUUGAUGUCUAACAGCUCAGUGAUUCUGAAGUGGGAGCAGGUUGGAAGUAGAUGAUUUUGCAACCCAAUGUGAUCAUUUUAUAAUAGGUUCUAAACACAGGUUCCAUCUGUUUCAGGACAGAAUGAUCUGAUCUGAUUUAUUCUGACUUGCCUCCAAAAAAUAUCUUCAACCAGGAAAAAAAAUUCAGUUUUGGUAAUCUCUAAAGGAUAAACGUAAAAAGGAUAUUAAAAUGAGACCAAAAAUUAUACAUUCAUUUUACAUAUGAAAAAGCUCAAGCCCAGAAAUAUGAAAAUUUGCUAAAUGUCCCACAGCUAAUGAUAGCAAGUCUCCUAACAUCCAGUCCAAAACCAUAUCUCAUUCUACAAAAUAGCUCUUUUAGCAAUUUAGGGAAAAGUGAGGGAUUAUUGAAAUGGUUCUCAUUUAUGCCACCCUCCUGAUGCCUGAACAUGUAGGAAAAAAACCUAAAAGUGGCUCCUUCAGAUGCUUGAGCUUAGCCGAUUUCUGUAUUUUAGAUGAAGGUCUGUGAACUUUUUACGUAGUCAGAGUAAAAAUUUCUUGCUUUUUGGAUCAUAGGGUCUUUAUGACAACUGUUCAACUUGCUGUUGUAGUGUGAACCAAACCAUAAGUAACAUGUAAAAGAAUAAAACUGUAUUUGUUAUUAAAACAUAAUUUAAAGAGGGGUAAAAUAAUGACUGUCAUACAGAUACAAAAUAUACAUGAGUUAAAGAUUUUAUUAAACUUGUAUGAGGAAACCAGUCAGUUCUACCAAUUCAAAGGAGAAGCCAAAGAAUAGACAUGCUUAUAGAUCAAGGAUAUUGAAAGGAAUGUACAAAUGAAGGGAAAACUGACUUUCCCAAAGGAGAGAAGGAGAGUUGUCUCUCCACUGGAAAGAAUUUAGUUACAUGUCUAUAGAUAAGAACUACGUUUGCUUUGCUCUCAGUUACUUAUAUCCUAGAGUUGUAAAAGAGCUCCCAUGGAGUCCAGAAUCAGAGGGAUGUGCUAUAGACAGCGCUCGUCUUUCACAUGCAUUACAAAAACAGCCGGAGGAUGUGAAGCCUCGCCUGUCUGCCCCUGUCUUAGAUGAACUGAAGGGAGGGAAAGAAAGACAACAGCUAUUUCUUCAGCUAAGAGUCUACAAAGGCAGCAAGGUAAGCAUUUCUCUGGUUGAUAUCACAGGAAAUAAAAUACAAUCAAAACAGCUUUGGAGUGAAGUCGAUGGAAGGGUUCCGUUGUGGACAGCUGUGGAUGCUGUAACCUUUCUGCACUGAGUAUGCCACAUCAAGGUUUGGAAUCCCAAUCUCUUCAUGCUGUCUCUUACCCUGUUCCAACCACAUGCUGAUUUCCUUCAUAGAAUUACUCAUUGUCCAUAAGCUAAUGAGGCUGUAAUCAAAUUGAGGAGCGUUAUCUUCCCCUAACGAAGAAAGCAGGACUGCAGAAGAGACCAAUGUGGAUAAAACACCCGGAUCAGGAAAGACUGCCUGGCGGAGUAUGGGUGAGGCACAGCAAUGCAAAACCAUGAAUUGCAGAGUGGAUCUUCAAAGGGCUGGCACCCAUGAACUCCCACUAUUAAAACAAGAGAGAAGUUAAUCUUAACCUGAGGCUGGUUUUGGAAGCAUCAUCAUUGUGCAGAGAACUUUUCAGGCUUUUGGACCCAGGUAAUCUGACGUCAGAAUCAAAUGGAAAAAUCCCAGCUCCAGAGGCAUCUGGCUCUUCACUUUCUCUGAUUUGUACUAGUGCAAUUCAGUGAUGCCAGAGAAAAAUCACACAGUGAGGCAGAUUUGUACUGCCAAGGAAUCAUGAUUACCAACCUCAUCUUGGCUGUCAACAAUGUCCCACAAAUGCACAGCAAUUCUUUUGUUAGUUCUCUCUCCUUUGCCAUCUAGUGCCUGUUUCAAACCUCACCACUCUCCUUCACAGAGAAAGCAGACACCAUCAGAUAGGCGCUCCAAUAAUGUUUUGCAAAGGAAAUUUCCAAGCCUCCCUUUCUCUAUUCUUACUUCUAUCAAAAAGAAGGUGAUCAUUCUUCUAUCUAAAUUGAGUAUUUUCACUUACAUUAUAGAACUUAUCACAUCUUACCUGACACUAUUAAUUAUAUCUACAUCUCUCCUUCAUCUUUCUGUUUCUCCCCAGAUGUGCCCUCCAGCUAUUAAUAAUAUGCAAGUCACUUCCAUAUAGAAAAAGUCUUAACUGGAUCCCACAUUUUCUUCCAGCCACAGCAUUAUUUCUGAAUUUCUCUUUGUAGUCAAUCUUCUCUAGAUUUGUUACUCAUGUUUCUCAAUUUGCACACUCACCAUGCAGUCCUCCUACCUCUCUCCAAUCUGGAUUCUAUCAAUACUCUGAAAAAAUGGUUCUAAUAUCUCCAAUAACCAUCUUGAUAUUAAAUACACUCCCCAGUUUUCAACCUUCCUCUUACAUUAACUAUUGGCAAUAUUCAACAAUGCAAGCCACUCCUUUGACAUACUCUCUUAUCCUUUGGCCUCUGUAUCACCAUAUCCUCCUAUAUUCCUCCUACUUCUUUGGUCACUUUUUCUCAAUUUUUUUCCUUAAGUGGAUGCAAAGUUCAGUCAUAACAUCUUUUCUCACAAUAUUCUCUCUCCUGAUUCUCUCAUAUAUUCUGUGAUAUCACAGACAUUCAAUUAUUGUUUUACGUUUUGUUAACACUCAAAUUUAAUUCUCUAGUCCAGUAACUCUCCUUAGAUUUCUAGACAUAUUUAGUAAACAGCCUUCUAAGAAUUUCUACUUGGAUGGUUAUCUCAACCUCAACCUGUGAAUGAGCUUAUCUUUUCCUUAACAACUUGGUCUCCAUGCAUAUUUUUCUAUCUCUGCCAAUAGUGCCCCCAUUCUAAUCAAUCGUACAAGUGAGUUCUCAUAUCCAAUGAAUGGAUUUAAACCACGUUUACUUUAAAAUUCCGAAUACAAAUUUGAUGUCCACACCUUUCUCUAUUCCACUGCAAUAGAACAAGUGACAAAAUUUCCUCAUCCAAGUCAUUGUCUACCCUCUCUAAGCCAUUCUUUGCAUAGCUAGAAAGCACGCAUGCUAUUUUCCAACAGAACUCUCAAAAGCCAUUUCUUCUAGAUCAAGACCCAAAUCCUGAGUGUGGAUUUUAAGUUAGUGAAGAAAUAUAGACCAGUGGUUAACAGAUUGAGAUCUGGACCUAUCCUGCCUGAGUUCAGACUCUGAACAAGUGUCUCCCCAAUCUGUGCAGCAGCUUUCAAUUGUUUCCAAGAAAAGUUUCCUCUAGGUGAAUAAGGAGUCUAUGUCUUGAUGUGACGGACUGAUAAAAAGAUGAGGAAGAGCAUUACAGAGCAAAGAAUUUUUGAGAAAUCUGAUUUCAUGUUUGAGAAUCAAUGAGAAAGACUAACCUGACCUAAGCUUUCUGGGAAUAACUGAUUAAAAAACAAAAUAGAGGCUGCAUGACUGGCAGCUCUGAGAGACCAAGAGAGAACAUUCCUGGUUGCACCACUUCCCUACUUUAGGUUUUAGUUAGCACUGUCACAUGUACACUCUUCCUUCUAAAAUAAAGCUAGCAUUAUCGACUUUGGUAGCUCCCUCAGGAAGACAAUAAAUUUGGCCCAUUGUUAGUGACUUCCCUCAACACACUUUCCCAACUCUUUUGACUCUUUAAGUUCUCCCUUCUCAUCUAAUUCUGUAUCACAUCCUUAUCCUUGUCAGUUGAAACAUUUCUAACAACUCUAUUGAGGUAUAAUUUGCAUAUCAUAAGAUCACCCUUUUGAAUUUUAGAAAAUUUAUCAACUUGUACAACCAUCAUCAUUAAUCAAUUUUAAAACAUUUUCGUUAUCCCAAUAAGAUAUCAAUGAUAUAAGAUAUAAAUUUAUUUUCAUAUAAGUGAAGUUGCACACUAUGUGGUUUUUGUGCCUGACUUGUUUCACUUAACAUAACGUUUUUGAGGCUCAUUCUUGUGGCAGCACAUAUCAAUAGUUCCUUCCUUUUUAUUGCUGAAUAGCAUUCCUACUAUGUAGAGGAUGUACCACACAUUUUCUAAUCAUUCUCCAGUUGAAUAGUUUGGUUGUUUCCAUUUUUUGGCUAUUGUGAAUAAUGCUGCUGUUGGGGAGGAUAAAAUUUCCCCCUUUACCCCGUCUUGAGUUCUUACGGCUGGACAAAUAAUAAAAUCUACACAAGAACUGAUUAACAGGAAAACAAAUAUUUUAUAUGUAUGUAUGAGAGAUCAUAUUAAUGAUGCUCAAAGAGUGAACAAAUUAGGCAGUUUAUGUAUCUUUUUACACAAAGAAACAAUAAAUUUGUGAGGAAUUGACAGGACAAAGGAACUUAGGUUUGGGUUAUGUGAUUAGUGGGGAAUUUAAGUAGAGUCUUGGUUUGAGGUAGUAAAUAAGUGAAAGUAACAAGGUUUGUUCAUACAGGCUUCUCAGUCCUGAAUUCCUUAGCUCUGGUGAUAAGGAUGUCUCCAUCUCCUAGUGAGGAAGGGUACCUUUCACAUGGCAGAUUUAUUUCUUGCUUUCAGGGGGAAUAGAGAGAGGAGGGCCAAAACUUUAAGUCAGAACAAGUAACUUUAAUUCAAAAUAAAUCAACAUGCCAUUGUGGGAUGUUUUGGGGUGGCCUGCCCUGGGCUCCAACACUGCUAUGAACAGUAACAGGAAAGUUUUUGGUUGAACGUAUGUUUUCAUUUGGGCAGAUAUCUAGGAGUGGAAUUGCUGGGUUGCGUGGCAAAUGUAUUUUUAACUUUUUAAGAAACUGCCAACUCUUUUCCAAAGUGGCUGAACCAUUUUAUGUCAGUUGAAUUUUAUCUUAAAAACAAGCAAACAACAUCAACAACUCUUUCCUCCAAGGAAUUAAUGUGAGGACAGAGAAUAUCCACAUUUCUUUUAUUUUAAGGCAAUAUUAAUUAUAAAAUAGGCUAUUGAGUUAAUAAACGUUUGAAUGAGGCCAUGUAGCGGGGGAUAUUGGAGAAACACUACAUAAAUCAAUUUAAUGUCAUUACUCAAUUUCAGAAACUUUGGAAAAAUUAAUAUUUCUUCGAAUCACAAAUGAGUUUUGAGUUUUAUCACAUUGCCUCCCACCUGCCAGUGGCUCUUGCUGCCUGCUUUCCUGUAUUGAGAAAGAUUCUGCGUCUAGAUCUUUGUGCAGGCUAAAUGGGAAGAAGGACACUGAUUAAUUGAUGAGGGCUCUUCUGGUCCAGCAGGAGAGGGGAUAUCUUAUCCUUUGGGCCAUUUAUUUACUUUCGUGUAUUGGAGAUUAAUGUGUUUCAUCUUAGAAGAAAAAGAUGCAUCAAGCAAAACCAAUUUUUAAAAGAAUCUUUGAAUAACAAACAAUUCCUUGAUUCAUAGGAAUGAAUUGCUUGUGGUCUAAUUUCAGGCAGAAUCAUGGGGGUGUUGGGGGGAGAUCCUCCUUAAAAAUAUGAUUUGCAUCAAAUAAUUUAAGGCAACAUUUUUCUAAUUUUAGGUAUUAGUCUUGACCUAUGCAGUCUAUUAUUCUUAAUCCAGAAAUAAAUCAUUUUCUGCUUGCUUUCCACUUGGAUCUGCAACAUCUCCAGCCUGCUCGGUCUGCUUAGCCUUUUUAAGACAACAUUAACCAAAGAAGGGUUGACAGGGGCACAAUGUACAUAUGAAAUCUUUCUUUGUGGUGGGGAGUCAGCCAAAAUCACAGAUUUCCAGUCUUACACAAUAGGAGAUUUGCAAUUUGCCCAGCCCUUCCCACCCACUGUGGCAAGUGUUCUCUUUUGCAACCAUCAGCAUUCUCAAGGCAGCUGAAUGUGAGUCUGUAAUUACAAAGGCAACAAUGGCUGCAGGGCAGAAAAUGUGCACGAAAUAUAAUACAUAUGAGAGCAGCAUUACGCCCAAAGUGCUCUGAUGGUCUCAGGACCACACCAGGUGGUAAGCCAUCUCCCUCAAUUUUCAUUUCCACCCACCAUUUGUCAUAUAAGCUUUGCCCAGUCACUUACCAUCCCAGGGUGCUGUCCUCAGAAAGGAUGAUGUGAUUGGCCCUUUCCUGGCCUGGCAGGAGGAUCUCCCAGCUGGAUGAAGUCAUCUAGACAAAGCUGACAGGAAGUGCUUCAUUAUAUGGGCAGAAACAGAACUGGAGUGGGAGAAAGAUCUACUUCAAAGCCAUGAGUACAUAGAGGGAGAGAUGGGGAUCAGAUGGUAAGACUUGAAGGGCCUGGAAAAAGCUUUCCUGUCUCUGCAGAGCCCCAAUAGUGUGGCUUUUCUUAAUGGCAAAAACCGAUGUGGUAGAAUCACCUCUAUACUAAAACACAUAAAUGCAAUGUAACAGGAAGAUAAACCUUCUUAAAAUCCCUUCAGCACUUCUCAAACUUUAAUGCGCACACGAAUCACCUGAACAUUUUGUUAAAAUGCUGAUUCCAGUUCAGGUGUCUGAGGGAGGGUCUGAGAUUCUGCAUUUCUAACAAGCUCCACGGUAUUGUCAACAUUGCUGCUUCUAGGGCCACAUUUUGGAUACACCUCCUUUCCCGUUUUUUUUGGUGGUGAAGAAAUGAAACCCAAAGAUGUACAGUGAUUUGGUCAAGAGCUCACAGACACCUUUGUGGUAUCUCACAGAUGCUCUUGUGAGUCUAGGUCUGGGGUCUCCUCAGGCACCUUCCCUAACCAAAGCUUUCUUCACAGGAGCAACAGGAAGCAGCAGAAGGCGCACCAAGAGCAGUUAAUAUGGGGGCUGAACAGACACAGGUCUUACUGGAUUGUGAUUUCAGAAAAUAGGGAAACAAAGAGGGCAGGUUAAGGAUUGGAUUUUUUAUUCAACAUUCAGCUUGCUGGGGGAUGUUAGAAAGAGUAUUACUAUGCAUGUCAGGAACCAGUUAUUCUGUCUUCAAUUAACAGCACAUUUUAAGUAAAGAAUUCCACUUCUAUUGCUGGUAUUGCUCUCAGUUAUAAAGUAGGUAGGUCUAGAAUGAUCUGAAGAGUGAUUCUAUCUCUGACAUUUUAUGAUUCUCUAAUGGAUUUAAAUAUGCAAGAACUGAAUGAUUUUUUAUUUAUCUGUUUCUUUCUUUCUUUUUUUUUUUUUCCUUUCUGCCUCCAGGAAGCAUAAUAUCUGGUUGAGAGAGAAGAAAAAUGCUUUAGGCAGGGUCAACACUUUUUAGAAAUCUACACUACUCAAUUAAGUGUUCUUUACUACAUUUCCAGAAAAGGAGAGUUGGUAAAGAUGUCUAGAGCAAAUAGCAGUGAAUAAACCUGUGUUUAAAUUUCUAAUAAGUACAUUUGAAUAAAGACUUGGACCAUGGUACAUGAGAAAUGGAAUUAGUAGAAAGUAUCUUUAUAUGGUGCAUAUUUUUGUUCUAUAUCACCUUUGAAAAUGUACAUCAUAAAAAUGCUAAUAUCAACAUGCUCCUGUUAAGAUACACCACAUUUCAUAUUUCUAUCUAUAUCUCUAGCUAGGAUGCUAUUGGCUAAGAAGUUUUUGCUUCUACUAAAACAUGUAGAGAAACGUAUUCUUUGUACUUUGUAAAGUAUGUUUCCUAUGCUUGAGUUAUCAUUUACUCAAGCAAUAUUUUUUUCCCUUAGUAAAAGAGGAUAGUUACCCAAAUCUAAUCGUAUCAACAGUUUCCCGUUUCAUUCUAUUAUCCUUGUAUUUUUAAUGCCUGGUUUAUUUAAUGAGAUUUGAAAGUUUCAUAAUGAGAGUAUUUGAAACAGAAUUCAUUAACAGAUAGUUUGCUACCAUAUUCAGAAAAUUACAUGCUAAUAAAAUAGGAAUAUGAUUUGAGAAAUUUCUAAUACAAAUUGAUUUUUCCAUUAAUGAUUUCAGUGUCCAAUCCUGGGAAAGGAGUUUACCCUGUAAGUAAGAUAUGAAUGGAAAUAGGCAUUUACUGAGUCCCUGCUCCAUACGCAACCCCAUAUUAGACACUUUGGGGUCACAAUAAUGUAAGAUGUGAUUCCUGCCUGUUCAAGAUUGUUGUCUAGUUAGAGAGAUGAUUGACAGACAUGAACCAAUUAGAGAGCAACAUGAGACAAAAUAGAGUUGAAUUAGUGCUAUAUUGUGUUGUUUUAGACUGCAAGUAAUAGCUUAAUUUGGAGACUUGGAGGAAUAUUAGACUAAGCUAAGUUUCAAUGAGAGUAAGACAGUAUGAACCACCACUAAAAUUGAGAAGGAUGGGAAACAGACUUAGUCCAAUUCACCACGAUUCAAUUUUCUCUAGUUGCACAUACUUUUGUUUGUCUGUUUUUGGUUUGUCUAUCCCUUUAAAACAGACUAUCCAUGAUCUUUACCAGCACAUAGAAAAACAAACUAUCAAAAAACCUAGACUCGUGUCCAGGUUUCUGCUAUGCAGAAAAUUUGCACUUAGCUUGGAUCUGAGAGAACAAGCAUUCCAAAGGGAAAAGGAGCAAAUAAUAGUGAAGUCACCUCCAUUGAAAUAAACAAAUGUCUUCUUUUGCCUGACAAACAGGAGAGUCGCUUUUGAGGAAAGCACAUUAUCUGUCAUUCAGAUUUAUUUCACUGUCCAGAUCCCAUCCGGAUUUAUGUCUGAGGACUGUGUUGAAUAAGGAGACCGUAAGUAAAAAGUGAAAGAGCAGUUUCAUUUCAUAAAGUCUGUAAGACAUUGGGAUAUAUGAGCAACACUAUUUUGGUAUCUUUUAUAAAAGUGUUCCUUUGAAACAGAGCACAUGCAGCUUUUCAUCUCCCAGAUUCUUAGCUACUCUGGGUUCUGGCAGAAGGUAAUUUCUGGAUCACACAGGGCAUUUGGAAGAUGUCUAGCAAAAGACUCCAGCCCCUGCUAGAGAACAAUGAAGUCCACUGGACCUACCAGUACUCAACCACAGCAGAAGACUAGAAAAGGAAAGAAAAGCCAAUGCCAAACAGUAGCCACCUAAACAGCUUACUAGACUUGUGGUUAGAAUCAAAUGCACAGGAGACAUCCCUGGGGGAUUUUAGAUGAAUCGAAGUGGAGGCAUUUUGCAAUGAAUUCGAGGGGAGGCGAGGGGCGAA